rnacentral:rRNA from 1 species
CCUACGGGGGGCAGCAGUGGGGAAUAUUGGACAAUGGGCGAAAGCCUGAUCCAGCCAUGCCGCGUGUGUGAAGAAGGCCUUCGGGUUGUAAAGCACUUUCAGUGGGGAAGAAAGCCUUGGGGCUAAUACCCUCGAGGAAGGACAUCACCCACAGAAGAAGCACCGGCUAACUCCGUGCCAGCAGCCGCGGUAAUACGGAGGGUGCGAGCGUUAAUCGGAAUUACUGGGCGUAAAACGCGCGUAGGCGGUCUGAUAAGCCGGUUGUGAAAGCCCCGGGCUCAACCUGGGAACGGCAUCCGGAACUGUCAGGCUAGAGUGCAGGAGAGGAAGGUCGAAUUCCCGGUGUAGCGGUGAAAUGCGUAGAGAUCGGGAGGAAUACCAGUGGCGAAGGCGGCCUUCUGGACUGACACUGACGCUGAGGUGCGAAAGCGUGGGUAGCAAACAGGAUUAGAUACCCCAGUAUC